CCUACGGGUGGCAGCAGUCGGGAAUAUUGCGCAAUGGAGGAAACUCUGACGCAGUGACGUCGCGUGCAGGAAGAAGGUUUUCUGAUUGUAAACUGCUUUAGACAGGGAAGAAACAAGACAGUACCUGGAAAAUAAGCUGCGUCUAACUACGUGCCAGCAGCCGCGGUAAUACGGAGGGAGCAAGCGUUAUCCGGAUUUAUUGGGUGUAAUGGGGGCGUAGACGGGAAGUCAAGUUGGUUGUGAAAUCCCUCGGCUUAACUGAGGAAGUGCAACCAAAACUAACUUUCUUGAGUACAGGAGAGGAAGGUGGAAUUCCUAGUGUAGCGGUGAAAUGCGUAGAUAUUAGGAGGAACACCAGUGGCGAAGGCGACUUUCUAAACAGUAACUGACAUUGAGGCACGAAAGUGUGGGGAGCAAACAGGAUUAGAUACCCGAGUAGUC
rnacentral:rRNA from 1 species